GUGUUUGCUUCGGAGCACACAUACUAAAAUUGGAAUGGUACAGAGAAGAUUAGCAUGGUCCCUGAGCAAGGCUAAUAUGCAAAUUCAUGAAAUGUUCCAUAUUUUU
ensembl:snRNA U6 U6 spliceosomal RNA